rnacentral:rRNA from 1 species
AAUCCGACCUAGGCUCAUCUGAUGGCGCAAGGCCCGAAGGUCCCCUGCUUUCUCCCGUAGGACGUAUGCGGUAUUAGCGUCCGUUUCCGAACGUUAUCCCCCACUACCAGGCAGAUUCCUAGGCUUUACUCACCCGUCCGCCGCUCUCGAGAGAAGCCAGCUUCUCUCUACCGCUCGACUUGCUUGUGUUAGGCCUGCCGCCAGCGUUCAAUCUGAGCCAGGAUCAAACUCU